CAGCAGCCGCGGGAAUACAGAGGGUGCGAGCGUUAAUCGGAUUUACUGGGCGUAAAGCGUGCGUAGGCGGCUUUUUAAGUCGGAUGUGAAAUCCCUGAGCUUAACUUAGGAAUUGCAUUCGAUACUGGGAAGCUAGAGUAUGGGAGAGGAUGGUAGAAUUCCAGGUGUAGCGGUGAAAUGCGUAGAGAUCUGGAGGAAUACCGAUGGCGAAGGCAGCCAUCUGGCCUAAUACUGACGCUGAGGUACGAAAGCAUGGGGAGCAAACAGGAUUAGAUACCCCGGUAGUCCCUGUCUCUUAUAC
rnacentral:rRNA from 1 species